AAGUGGGACAGUCGAGAAUCUCAGUGCUGUUCAGCUUAACGGGGGAGCUAGGGAUGCUGCUGCUGCUGCUGCCAAGGUAUCCUCUCGACUGAGCCUCCGCUACCGUAACAACAGCGACUACUUCGACGUCGUCUUCUUCGUCAUCGGCGCUUUCGUCGCUGCGAUCUUCCUCGUCAUUGGCACUAACGUCGCUGAACUCGUCGUCGUCUUCUUCUUCCUCCUCUUCAGGGACGGGAGGAGAAAGAGGGAACCGUGGCCUCUUCGGGGAACGGUGGUCGGGGUUUCUCGGGGGAGGAGGCAUUGUCGAAAGUGGGGGAAGAUCUUUGUUACUGAAUGUUGUUGAGAUGAUUAGGCCUGGGUGCUCUCAGAUAGGGUUUUAUACUGGUCCUUUGGAUUUCUUCCCAGUUUUGGUUUGGUCCACAUUCCAAUGAUCUGUGUCUUAGUUUGGGUCUCAUUUAGAAGCUGAAGAUUCGUCAACAUGGAGAAGAUUUUAAUACCUUUUUCUAGCAUAUGAGUCAUGUAUCUAUCUGUUUGUGUAAUAAUUUACGCUCCAUUAUUCUUUAUGACUUUAAUUUUGUUAAUUUGAUAUUUUUUUUGAGCCAAAAGUUAAUUUGAUAUAAGUAAUGAAAUUUUAGUCGGAAAAAAUGUAGAAGAUUUUUUGUUUAAAUGCUCAAAAUUAUAAAUAUAAUAUUUUUAAUCAAAUUAUAAAUAUAAAAGCUAUAUUAUUGAUAAUAAGUAAAAAGUCAUUUUAGUGGAGUUUCAGCAUUAAAAAAAUUAUUCUCCAAUCACAACACUAAAUUUUACACUAAAAGUUAUUUUAUAAUAUUAUAUGUAUUAUGUUUAUUUGUCAUUUAUUUAAUUAUUUAUUUUAUUAAUAAAAAUGACACUGCAAAAGAAUAAACACCAAAGUAAUUAAAGAUAAAAAAAUUAAAGACAAAGGUAAUUAAAAAUUAAAGAUAAAGACAAUUAAAGAGUAAACCUGAUAGAUGGGGCCCCUGAGUGGCUCUAAGCAAGUGGGACAGUCGAGAAUCUCAGUGCUGUUCAGCUUAACGGGGGAGCUAGGGAUGCUGCUGCUGCUGCUGCCAAGGUAUCCUCUCGACUGAGCCUCCGCUACCGUAACAACAGCGACUACUUCGACGUCGUCUUCUUCGUCAUCGGCGCUUUCGUCGCUGCGAUCUUCCUCGUCAUUGGCACUAACGUCGCUGAACUCGUCGUCGUCUUCUUCUUCCUCCUCUUCAGGGACGGGAGGAGAAAGAGGGAACCGUGGCCUCUUCGGGGAACGGUGGUCGGGGUUUCUCGGGGGAGGAGGCAUUGUCGAAAGUGGGGGAAGAUCUUUGUUACUGAAU
rnacentral:lncRNA from 1 species